AUAGCGUAUAUUAAAGUUGUUGCAGUUAAAAAGCUCGUAGUUGAACUUCAGACCUGGCCGGGCGGUCUGCUUAACGGCAUGUACUGUCUGGGCGGGUCUUACCUCUUGGUGAGCCGGCGUGCCCUUCAUUGGCGUGCGUCGGGGAACCAGGACUUUUACCUUGAGAAAAUUAGAGUGUUCAAAGCAGGCCUAUGCCCGAAUACAUUAGCAUGGAAUAAUAAAAUAGGACGCGCGGUUCUAUUUUGUUGGCUUCUAGAGUCGCCGUAAUGAUUAAUAGGGAUAGUUGGGGGCAUUGGUAUUGAGUCGCUAGAGGUGAAAUUCUUGGAUUGACUCAAGACCGACUACUG
rnacentral:rRNA from 1 species